rfam:Streptomyces chattanoogensis strain NRRL ISP-5002 ISP5002contig29.1, whole genome shotgun sequence.
GCCGGUCCUCGGUAGUGGCCCCCGGAGAUCUCCGGGAGCUUCGAUCGAAGACCGGC